rnacentral:rRNA from 1 species
UACGUAGGGUGCAAGCGUUGUCCGGAAUUAUUGGGCGUAAAGAGCUCGUAGGCGGUUUGUCGCGUCGGCUGUGAAAUCUCGGGGCUUAACUCCGAGCCUGCAGUCGAUACGGGCAGACUUGAGUUCGGUAGGGGAGACUGGAAUUCCUGGUGUAGCGGUGAAAUGCGCAGAUAUCAGGAGGAACACCGGUGGCGAAGGCGGGUCUCUGGGCCGAAACUGACGCUGGAGACGCGAAAGCGUGGGGAGCGAACAGG